rnacentral:rRNA from 1 species
UACGUAGGGGGCAAGCGUUGUCCGGAAUCAUUGGGCGUAAAGAGCGUGUAGGCGGUCCGUUAAGUCGGCUGUGAAAGUCCAGGGCUCAACCCUGGGAUGCCGGCCGAUACUGGCGGACUAGAGUCCGGAAGAGGCAAGUGGAAUUCCCGGUGUAGCGGUGAAAUGCGCAGAUAUCGGGAGGAACACCAAUGGCGAAGGCAGCUCGCUGGGACGGUACUGACGCUGAGACGCGAAAGCGUGGGGAGCAAACAGG